AUUGAACGCUGGCGGCAGGCCUAACACAUGCAAGUCGAACGAGUGGCGGACGGGUGAGUAAUGCAUGGGAAUCUAGCUUAUGGAGGGGGCUAACUACGGGAAACUGUAGCUAAUACCGCGUAGCAUAGGAUGAGACCCAGUGGGAUUAGGUAGUGGGUGAGGUAAAGGCUCACCAAGCCGACGAUGUCUAGCUGGUCUGAGAGGAUGACCGGCCACCAUGGGACUUAGACACGGCCCAGACUCCUACGUGAGGCAGCAGUGGGGAAUAUUGCGCAAUUGUCGCAACCUUACGCAGCCAUGCCGCGUGAAUGAAGAAGGCCUUCGGGUUGUAAAGUUCUUUCGUUAGCGAGGCGUUAACUAUAGAAGAAGCAACGGCUAACGCCGUGCCAGCAGCCGCGGUAAUAC
rnacentral:rRNA from 1 species